ACGAGUGAAUCAGAUCUCUGCUCUACUGCAGGAUAAACACUGUACACUCAACACACUGAAGUUAAGUGACUGUGGUUUGAUAGAUGAAGGUUGUUCUGCUGUGACUUCAGCUCUGAAAUCAAACCCAUCACACCUGAGAGAACUGGACCUGAGCUGGAAUAAA